UUAGAGUUUGAUCAUGGCUCAGAUUGAACGCUGGCGGCAUGCCUAACACAUGCAAGUCGAACGGUAACGACGGGAGCUUGCUCCCGGGCGACGAGUGGCGGACGGGUGAGUAAUACUUAGGAAUCUGCCCAGUAGUGGGGGACAACUCGAGGAAACUCGAGCUAAUACCGCAUACGCCCUACGGGGGAAAGCGGAGGAUCUUUCGGGACUUCGCACUAUUGGAUGAGCCUAAGUCGGAUUAGCUUGUUGGUGGGGUAAAGGCCUACCAAGGCAACGAUCUGUAGCUGGUCUGAGAGGACGAUCAGCCACACUGGGACUGAGACACGGCCCAGACUCCUACGGGAGGCAGCAGUGGGGAAUAUUGGACAAUGGGGGCAACCCUGAUCCAGCAAUGCCGCGUGUGUGAAGAAGGCCUGCGGGUUGUAAAGCACUUUCAGUAGAGAAGAAAUGCCCAUGGUUAAUACCCGUGGGUCUUGACGUAACCUACAGAAGAAGCACCGGCUAACUCCGUGCCAGCAGCCGCGGUAAUACGGAGGGUGCGAGCGUUAAUCGGAAUUACUGGGCGUAAAGCGCGCGUAGGCGGUUUGGUCAGUCGGAUGUGAAAGCCCCAGGCUCAACCUGGGAAUGGCAUUCGAUACUGCCUGACUAGAGUAUGGUAGAGGGAAGUGGAAUUUCCGGUGUAGCGGUGAAAUGCGUAGAUAUCGGAAGGAACACCAGUGGCGAAGGCGACUUCCUGGGCCAAUACUGACGCUGAGGUGCGAAAGCGUG
rnacentral:rRNA from 1 species